CGGCUCUUCGGAGCAGUGGCGCACGGGUGAGUAACGCGUGGGAACCUACCCUGAGGUUCGGAAUAACGGCUGGAAACGGCCGCUAAUACCGGAUGUCCCCUGAGGGGGAAAGGCUUGCCGCCUUGGGAGGGGCCCGCGUCCGAUUAGCUAGUUGGUAGGGUAACGGCCUACCAAGGCGACGAUCGGUAGCUGGUCUGAGAGGAUGAUCAGCCACACUGGGACUGAGACACGGCCCAGACUCC
rnacentral:rRNA from 1 species